GCUAUGAAGCAUUGUCCAUCCCCUCCCUUCCUCCUUGGUACAAUGACAGCCAUAUGAUUGUAUAACCAGGUAAUCUUUGGAUCUAUACUCUACAGACAGACUGACAGCCUCUGCAUGGCUCUACUAUCCAGUAUAAUUACUGGGAAUAUAGUCGCUUAUACUUCCCCCAUAGGUAUGAGUUUGUGUUUUGGGGCAAUUAAGUGGGUAUGUGUAUUUAGCCCAUAUGCGCAGCGUGUAAUUAAACAUAAAAGUGCCAUUGAACAUGUUUGGCUGAGUGUUGGGAAAUUUCUCAAGCCCCAAAGGUUGAAGUGGAUUGGCUGUGUGUGGGUAUAUAUAGGGUCUAUCAGUCCAUCUCGCAGUCAAAGUAGAUGACUGUGUUUUACCUGAAGCAUUCAUUUUCAGCUGUUCUUGUCAAGACGAAAAGGGAGAAAAUGGGGCCACUGCUGCUUUUAGUCUGCAUGCUGGGAGCAACGCUCGCAGCUCCUGUCCCGGAAAGCGGAAGCAAUGAGAUGGGUGACGCACCUGCUGCAGACCUUCCCGCUCCUCCGGUCAGUGAUGACUCAGAGGAAGAGGAGGAAAAAGCCGCCGCAGCCCCCAAAGCAGCCGCCGCCGCCCCGCUGAACUCGGAGGAGGCUGGCGAGGACGGAGCCGAGGAGGAGGAAGCGGCAGAGGCGGCCGAAGAGGAACCCGCGGCCGAGGCAGAACCCGCGGCCGAGGCAGAACCCGCGGCCGAGGCAGAACCCGCGGCCGAGGCAGAACCUGCGGCCGAACCCGCGGCCGAAGGGGCUACUGAAGCUGUUGCCGAGCCUGCUGCCGAAGCUGCCGCUGUCGACCCGGCCGUAGUGGAGGCCCCUGCUGCGGAGGUAGUCCCAGCCGACGCCACUCCCGUGGUGGAGGCGGCCGCGGUGGAGGCUCCAGCGGUGGAGGCUCCCGCGGUGGAGGCUGCAGCGGUGGAGGUUCCCGCCGCGGAGGCUGCCGCGGUCGAGGCUCAAGUGGUCGAGGCUGCAGCGGUGGAGGCUGCCGUGGUAGCGGUGGAAGCGGUGCCAGAGCUGGUGGUACUAGCGGGUCCCGUGGAGGUCCAGGCUGGGACAGCGUAAUCGCCCCAGUUUGUCACCUCAAUUUCUCUCCUACUGACCUGAGUAUUAUGUCUCAGUAGGCCUAGGUCAUGUUAAUAUACUGACGGCGGCAGAUUUUUUGUCAUUUUGCCGGAUCAUUGGACAGAUCACAGGCCGCAUAUGGUCAGCCCAGACUGAUGUUAUUUUUCUUAUGUCAUUUACUUGAUGAUGUUUGUGAUGAUCUGUGAAAAUAAAUAUGUGGUGGUUGAAUUCAUCCACUCAUCAGGUUUAUUGUAUUACACUUAAAACGGAUCAAAUUGAUUAAAAGGUAACCAUUUACAAUAAGGGUACAAUAAUGAACUAUCAAUCUAAAUUAGUUAAUGCGAUUAUAAGCAUUAUCUAACAAUAACAAGAAGAUAAUUAACUUCUUAACGAAUAAUGGUGUAGUAGUCAUUACUUGUUAACUAAGUCAGUUUUUGAUUUAUACUUUUUCUAAUAGCACACAAAUUAAGAUAUUUGUUGUAUUAUAUUGAAUGAUUACUAGACCAUAAAUUAACUGUAAAUAAGCCCUUAGUUCACAUCACUCAUGGUUAACCUCUUUACCCUUAUUGUAAAGUGUUACCGAAUAACAGAUUACUACAGUUGAUCUUUUAGCAAUCCUUAAACAAUCAUAUUUCCAUAUCAAACCUAUAGUUAACCUAUCAUAAAAUAUAUACUAUAGCCUACAUUGCAUUUCCGUUAUUAGUCGUCGGCUCUGCUGUUUGGAUGCGAAUUGUCCAUCACCCACAGAACACUGCAGCCAAAGGAUCUUCCCAUGGGAUCGCAGAUUCAUCUAACAUGCAGUAGAUGUAGGCUACCAUUGUAACAAUCAAGCUCAGAUCUACAGAUGGGAUGGUUCGGACAGUCAUUUAUCACCACAUAUAAAUGCACAAGGGAUCGUGUGGCUCCAGUAGGACAGCAUUAGCAGCAGAACCGGUACACUCCCGGUGGAUUUGCUACAGCUUUAAUAGGAUAUAGAGGGGAUAGGCUAGAGUGCUGAGUAAGCACUUAACCAGCCAGGGAGGACUGAAGCGCUUAGAAUCCCUCCAAUAUAUAUUGGACAUAAUGCCCCCCCCCCCCCCCCCCCCCCUUAUGGGGAAUACAAACCACCUUACAUUAAGGAUCAGAGCUCUGUUUCAUAUUUCGUGUUUUGUUCUUUUUUUUUUUCUUUUACAUUCCUGGAUAACAAGUAAAUCCAGGAGAGUGCAAUUUUCUCCCUGAAGUAAAAAAAACAUAGCUAGUCACUUUUUUGCGGUUUCUUAUUGAUUGUGAAGUGUCUGAUAGUUGUCUGUAGUUGUGAUAUAUGAUGAUUACUCGUGUUCUCUGUAAAAAAUGUGUGAAAGAAAGGAGUGUGGAUGAAUGGUGGCCUCAUCCACUUUCAUCCUUCUCUAAUCCCCCUCGAUCCUCCUCAGGGUCACUCACAACUUAGUCUCCUUCCUGGGACUCUACGCUGCGUUUAAUUGUGCGGCUGCUCACCAAUACAUUCAUAUUAUGAUCAAUUCAACCUUCUGUGCUCCAAAGAUCAAACAAAACAUGGACUCAUCGCUCUAGAUUAGCUUGGUGGGAAAGGUAAGUUGGACAUAUAUAUAUUAUUUUUAAGUGUUAUAGCCUACUAUACACAGUCGGAUGCAGCUUAUGGGGAUUUAAUAUGCAGAUUGCAGAUGCAGAGAACAUGAAUUAUGAACACAGUAAAACAGAUGGAGCAUGGAAGAUGUAAUACAUAAUCAAGGGUGAUGUAGGGCUU
rnacentral:lncRNA from 1 species